UGGCGGCGUGCCUAACACAUGCAAGUCGAGCGAGGAGAUCCUCGGGAUGAUCCUAGCGGCGGACGGGUGAGUAACACGUGGGCAACCUGCCUCAUAGAGAGGAAUAGCCUUCCGAAAGGGAGAUUAAUACCUCAUAACAUUGCAGUUUCGCAUGGAACAGCAAUUAAAGGAGUAAUCCGCUAUGAGAUGGGGCCCGCGGCGCAUUAGCUAGUUGGUGAGGUAACGGCUCACCAAGGCGACGAUGCGUAGCCGACCUGAGAGGGUGAUCGGCCACAUUGGGACUGAGACACGGCCCAGACUCCUACGGGAGGCAGCAGUGGGGAAUAUUGCACAAUGGGGGAAACCCUGAUGCAGCCAAUGCCGCGUGAGUGAUGACGGCCUUCGGGUUGUAAAGCUCUGUCUUCAGGGACGAUAAUGACGGUACCUGAGGAGGAAGCCACGGCUAACUACGUGCCAGCCGCUGC
rnacentral:rRNA from 1 species